AUAUAGAGUAUAUAGAGAAGGAGAGGCCAGAAGUAUCACAGGGACUGCCCUGUGAAGUGGCUGACGUCUUACUCCCAGUUCUGCCCAGAAGACCCCUGAACGCAUCAGGAACACAGACCUGCAUGAAGAACUGAAGAGAAAUGUUUUUAUUCUGUACUGUUUUCCCUCAGCUGUCACAUACAGAUGUGUUGCAGGCUGCACAUGUAGCAGGUGUUGUAUUCACUGAUUUCUAAAAACGUGUUGCAAAAUAAACAGUGCCAUGCC